rnacentral:rRNA from 1 species
AUUGAACGCUGGCGGCAGGCUUAACACAUGCAAGUCGAGCGGGGUGAUGGUGCUUGCACUAUCACUUAGCGGCGGACGGGUGAGUAAUGCUUAGGAAUCUGCCUAUUAGUGGGGGACAACAUCUCGAAAGGGAUGCUAAUACCGCAUACGUCCUACGGGAGAAAGCAGGGGAUCACUUGUGACCUUGCGCUAAUAGAUGAGCCUAAGUCGGAUUAGCUAGUUGGUGGGGUAAAGGCCCACCAAGGCGACGAUCUGUAGCGGGUCUGAGAGGAUGGUCGGCCACACUGGGACGGGAACACGGCGCGGACGCGUAGGGGAGGCAGCAGUGGGGGAGAUUGGACAAUGGGGGGAACCCUGAUCCAGCCAUGCCGCGUGUGUGAAGAAGGCCUUAUGGUUGUAAAGCACUUUAAGCGAGGAGGAGGCUCUUGUGGUUAAUACCCAAGAUGAGUGGACGUUACUCGCAGAAUAAGCACCGGCUAACUCUGUGCCAGCCGCCGCAGUAA